CUACUGCUUAUCUAGAGUAUGGGAGAGGUAGAUGGAAUUUCUGGUGUAGGGGUAAAAUCCGUAGAGAUCAGAAGGAAUACCGAUUGCGAAGGCGAUCUACUGGAACAUUACUGACGCUGAGAUGCGAAAGCGUGGGGAGCAAACAGGAUUAGAUACCCUGGUAGUCCACGCCCUAAACGAUGCACACUAGUUGUUGCUAUGCUGGACAUAGCAGUAAUGCAGUUAACACAGUAAGUGUGCCGCCUGGGGAGUACGGUCGCAAGAUUAAAACUCAAAGGAAUAGACGGGGACCCGCACAAGCGGUGGAGCAUGUGGUUUAAUUCGACGAUACGCGAAGAACCUUACCUGGCCUUGACAUAGUAAGAAUCUAAUAGAGAUAUAAGAGUGCUAGUUUACUAGAGCUUACAUACAGGUGCUGCACGGCUGUCGUCAGCUCGUGUCGUGAGAUGUUGGGUUAAGUCCCGCAACGAGCGCAACCCUCGUGUUUAGUUACUAACAGUUCGGCUGAGGACUCUAGACAGACUGCCUGGGUAACCAGGAGGAAGGUGAGGACGACGUCAAGUCAUCAUGGCCCUUACGGCCAGGGCUACACACGUGCUACAAUGGGGUAUACAAAGAGCCGCGAUACCGUGAGGUGGAGCAAAUCUCAUAAAAUAUCUCCCAGUUCGGAUUGAAGUCUGCAACUCGACUUCAUGAAGUUGGAAUCGCUAGUAAUCGUAGAUCAGCAAUGCUACGGUGAAUACGUUCCCGGGUCUUGUACUCACCGCCCGUCACACCAUGGGAGUUGAUUUCAUUCGAAGCGGGGAUGCUAAAAUAGCUACCCUCCACGGUGGAAUUAGCGACUGGGGUGAAGUCGUAACAAGGUACC
rnacentral:rRNA from 1 species